ensembl:snoRNA small nucleolar RNA SNORD10
GUUUAAUGAUGAUCCCAAUGCGUGUCAACUGAUCCCAGAGUUCCUUGUGGUCUCUGUUCUCCAGCUUGCGUUCUGCUCGCUGGGGAUCCGGAGACCUCAGGGCUCUGGGGCCAUGAUCAGUACUUCUUGAGCCUGAAAAC